ACUUAAGCAUAUCAAUAAGCGGAGGAAAAGAAACCAACAGGGAUUGCCCUAGUAACGGCGAGUGAAGCGGCAACAGCUCAAAUUUGAAAUCUGGCCCUCGUGGUCCGAGUUGUAAUUUGUAGAGGAUGCUUUUGGUGCGGUGCCUUCCGAGUUCCCUGGAACGGGACGCCAGAGAGGGUGAGAGCCCCGUACGGUUGGACACCUACCCUAUAUAUAGCUCCUUCGACGAGUCGAGUAGUUUGGGAAUGCUGCUCUAAAUGGGAGGUAAAUUUCUUCUAAAGCUAAAUACCGGCCAGAGACCGAUAGCGCACAAGUAGAGUGAUCGAAAGAUGAAAAGCACUUUGAAAAGAGGGUUAAAUAGCACGUGAAAUUGUUGAAAGGGAAGCGUUUGCGACCAGACUUUUUCCAGGGGGAUCAUCCGGUGUUCUCACCGGUGCACUCCGCCUGGUUUAGGCCAGCAUCGGUUCUCUUAGGGGGAUAAAGGCUUGGGGAACGUAGCUCCUUCGGGAGUGUUAUAGCCCCUUGCGUAAUACCCUUCGGGGGACCGAGGAUCGCGCUCUGCAAGGAUGCUGGCGUAAUGGUCGUCAACGACCCGUCUUGAAACACGGACCAAGGAGUCGAACAUUUGUGCGAGUGUUUGGGUGUUAAACCCUCACGCGUAAUGAAAGUGAACGGAGGUGAGAGCCCUUACGGGUGCAUCAUCGACCGAUCCUGAUGUCUUCGGAUGGAUUUGAGUAAGAGCAUAACUGUUCGGACCCGAAAGAUGGUGAACUAUGCGUGGAUAGGGUGAAGCCAGAGGAAACUCUGGUGGAGGCUCGCAGCGGUUCUGACGUGCAAAUCGAUCGUCAAAUCUGCGCAUGGGGGCGAAAGACUUAUCGAACCAUCUAGUAGCUGGUUACCGCCGAAGUU
rnacentral:rRNA from 1 species